GGUGGUAAAGGUGGGGGUGGUUGUGGCGACGAGGAAGGCAACAAGGAGGCACAGUCAGUAGCUCCCAGGCAGUGAGACCGUGCCUAAUAAUGUAUAACCGGUAUCUGUGUAUCUCACUUAGUUAUGUCAUAGAUGACAAUCCUUCUACGUGAAAUUUUCUUCCGAUUAAUUUAAUAUUUAAACACUAAAGGUCAAGGAUAAAGUGAGUGCGUUACAAUCUUAGAUUAUUUAAAAAAAAAAAAAGAAAUAGGUACAAACCUGAAAGAGAAAGAGGUGAAAACGAAUAUAAAAAAAAAUACUGUUGUACGUAGGAUCCUUAAAAGAAAAUUAUUUGGGAUUCUUGGAGUUGGUACUACUCAGUACCGAGCUAGCUUUAUUGCUAGUAAAUACCUUAGCCGUAGAAAGAAGAAGAAGAAGAAGAAGAGCUUGGGCUGAGGUGAAUUGGUCGAACACAGUGCUGCCAGUUGCAAGCUCUGUCUUUCUCUCUCUCUCUCUCUCUCUCUCUCUCGCUCUCUCUCGCUCGCUCGCUCUCACUCCAUCUAUCUAUCUAUCUAUCUCUAUCUCUUUUUGAACGGAGUCGACGCCGAAAGCUCGAUGCAAAUCGACGCCGUAUAAUAAUCAGUUCGAUGAAGAUCGACGUUAGCGUUCUCGUUAAUUUUCUUCCUAUUAAUUCUAUUUCUUCUUGUGUUGUGUCUACGUGUCACGGUUCUAUAGCAGCCAGAUGAACGUCGCCGACCUCAUCAGCAACACCACCAACAGCAACAGCAACAGCAGCAUCAUCAGUAACGUUGACGUGUACCUGGAAAGUUAUAGUACCAUAGGAAGUACGUCGUUCUCUGAAACGCUCCAACGCUCUGCCGGAUGUCAACGAACUCCUCGUAGAGAAGAAGAGGAAGAAGAAGAAGAACAACAACAACAAGAAGAAACUUUCUCGUGCAUAACAGAGAAAGAAGAGCUGGUGUUUAACGGCAAGGUUACCAAAACGAUUCCUAUCAAUUUAUUCGAUGGAGAUGAUUGUUUUGGUUUUAACAGAAAUACAACGAUCCCAACAUUUCCCACGAUAUCAUCGCUACGAAAUAGCUGAUUCGAUCUAAGAUCAAUGAUAGGUCAUUGACUUUUGCACAUGCGGCUCACCGAAUCUCCGAACGACUAACAAACGAUUGGUACAAGAAGGCUAAAUCGAUGUCCAACUGACGGAUGCGCGCGAUCCCAUUGGUGAACAAGUUUUCAGGGAAAUGUCAGCAUUCUUCGUAGAUAAGAAGAAGAACGUUUGUUUGGAAGUAUUUUAUGAUAUGAGAAGAACCUGAGACUUUAUGAGAUACGUUGUACUUUUUGAUAAUAAGAACACUCAAAGUUCUUUUUAGAAAGAUAUACAAGUAAAGUUGUGCAAAAAGUUAGGUAUAAGCAGGUUCGAAUAAUAGUGCCUGCUAAAGUGUUUAAAGAAUAGGAUUAUAUAGUGCUAUUAUAUUUCGCAGAUAGGAGAAAAAUAAAGGAAAAAGAGCGAGAGAAAGAAAGAAAGAAAGAAAGAACGCGAGUGACAGAAAGAGAGAGAGAGAGAUUAGAGGGAAGAAAUUUGAAUAAAAGUCUAGUAACGGUAGAAUACUGGUGAGUUUUAGUCAAAAUUUGCUGGACGAGUGGCGGGGUAACUACCGUUCUUUGCAUGGAGUGAUGAGCGGGGCCCCUGCACGGGGCACAGUGCCCCGACGUCAAAGACGCCAUCAUCAUCAUCACCACCAUCAUCAUCAUCAUCAUCAUCAUCAGAAACAUCCAAAACACGCUCGGAAGGAGCCUUCCGAGGAAUUGGAAGAAAAACGACCAAAGGUCAAUCCGAUAUUCCUCUGGGCAUCUCAAAGAGAACAGAGGAUAGUCGAGGUUAGAUGCGAGGAUUAUGACAAGAGAAAUCGCAUCAAAUUGACGAAGACUGCGCAAGGAUGGCGUUCGAUACCGAGAACGGCAUCCAACAUGUAUUCCACCGGUCUCGGUACGAAUCAAGAAAAGAAAAUUACACCGGCGUGCACGUCGUCGAGUUCAAACUCGAACGAAGAGAAGGAAAAUGGGAAGACCGUGACCGCGACUAGCAUAAAUAAUAAUUUAAUAAUCGAUAAAGAAAGUAUCGGUAAGAAGCGUAGAUACGAUGACUUUUUGAAAGACAAGAAAUAUUCUCAGGAUUAUUACCCGUUGGAAAAUCUUCAAAAUGGAGUACGAGUUAGCAGCGCGGAAUGGAAAAGGAAUCGAAGAAGGGUCUCCUGUUCGGAGGGGGAGGAGGAAGAGGAGGAGGAUGAGGAGGAGGAGGAGGAGGAGGAGGAGGACGACGACGACGACGAUGAGGAUGAAACCGAAGACGAGGAGCAAGAUGAUAACAGAGAUGACGGGAGAAAAAAGUGUAGGUCCUUUGGAUCUAUGAAUUUGAAGAAUACCAACGGUAAAAGCAAUCUCGAAAGAUUGCAAAAGGACAUACACUUUCAACCGCGUGUAGUCCUAGAACAUCUGCACUUAUCUCAGCUACCUGAUCAUCGAAAUGUUCUUUUACGAAGGAGUGAUAAGAUCCUGAACGGUCCCAAGGAAGUCGGUGACAUUUGCAACGAUGACGGGAAGGAUAGAGGGGUGGACAAAGAACCGAACAACGAAAGACGGAAUGAAGAUAUCGACGGUGAGGAAGACGAAGAAGAUGAGAACGAUGAUGAAGAGGACGAAGAGGAGGAGGAGGAGGAACCAGAGGAGGAAGAGAUUAAUGACGAUAGGAACAAAUGUCGAGAAAAUAAAGAGGGUAUUCAAGACAUAUUAAAUAUGAUAGAUGCCACAGCCUCACCCGUUUUAGCAACCGACACGCCCAGUGCCGACUUACCGAUGCACUCUAACAAAACUUUCGAAUUAGUUUUGAGCGAGAACGUAUAUCAAAAGAAAAUUAGCGAUAAGAAGAGCAAAGACUUGGAUCCUGCCUUACCUAGUGCGGUAAUAAAAAAUAAAUCAAGGACAGACUUUAUAUCCAAUUAUCAAAAGGAAAAUGUUGAAAAUAAUGAUAAUAUUAAUGAUUGUGAUCAAUUAGAAGUACACGAGGAGAAGAUACUCGAUCGUUGCAAUUUGAAUCUCGACGAAAGAAAAAGUCAUGUAUCAAAAGAAUCAACUUUUGUCGCUUGCAAAAAUAAUAGUAGUAGUAGUAGUAGUAGUAAUAAUAAUAAUAAUAAUAAUAAUAGUACUAGUAGUAGUAGUAGUAUCGAUAUCAAAUCUUGCAAAGUGGCAGAAGCUGACGGUGGUAUUAGUCGUUCCAAGUCUGAAUCGAAUUCUCUCCUUCAUAAAUGGAAAAACAACGUAGCUGUGAACGUAUCAAAAAUAAACGAGGAAGCACCCAGCGAACCCGGUGGACCAACGAAGAUAGAUUACACUAGUAGUUCAACGAUAUUGAACGCUCUUAGAAAUACCCCAGGACUUUCGGUUUCCAUAACGAGAGCUCAUCCUCAAGAAAUAACCAAAAAUGUAAACCCACCUUCCUCUAGACCCUCAUCGAAAAGUUCCUCGUCGAGCAGAUCACCCGAUAGUCAAGCAGAAAAUGUAGAAAGACUUUUGAAAGGUACCAUGAUAGAUUACUCCUCAACGAGAUCGUUCGAUGUCCGCGGUCAAGCAUUAAAUUUACCUCGAAACCUUCCAGGUUUGUCGAUCGUCAUACCGAAUUAUCGUUAUCGCAACGUAUCUAAUUCACAGUCAACGACGAAUUCGACCUCACCAAAAACCAAGGACAGAGUGGAAUCGCCAGAGAGUACUGUUAAUUUUCCAAAAACUGACUUCCCACACGAGGAGGAGGAAGAGAGAGAUCUCGAAGACGACGAAGACGAUUGCGAUUCGCAAGUUUUGGAAGAUCUUAGAAGACAAAAAGUUGAUUCUUUAGUUUUUGAUAGCGUCGAUAGUGGUUGUUUUCAUAGAUCGAAUUCUAGGAACAAUCAGGAUGAUCGCAAUACUCCGAUAGAAAAUGUUAAGGAUCGUACAGAUGGUAGUGCAUGGAACGGUUCCGGUCGUAGUAGCGAAGCUCAAGCAAAGUGUAAGUACCAGGACGUGGAACACUUUGAUGAACAGGUCCUCGAAGAACUUAGAUCUCGCGGUACCGUGGUUUCGCCUCAACCCAGUGGUAUUCCGUGUUCGCCUGCCUCCAAAAGGCCAUCCUCGGUGUACUUGGAAAGACUGUUACCGAGCCCACCUUGCUCGGUGUCCUGUUCGGAGGAUGCUAAAAACGAUUUAACUUUAAAGGGUAUUUUAUCGUCCCCGAGUUGUCUUGAAAAUAAAGAUUACGAUAGAAUUAGGGAAAGUACGUCAAAUCGAUGCGAGCCUGGAUCGAACGAAUAUACGACUACUACUCCUCGGUCGGACUAUUCCAAAGAUAACGAAAGAUCCAACGUUGGUGGUACGCGUAGAACUGUACGAACUUUUCAAGAACAUUCUAACGUACAAAAUCAAGAGAUCAAGAAUUCGGUAAGACCAUUGUCGAAUAGUGAUAUUCACAGUAGUCUCUUUAUAAGCGAUCGUAGUUCAGCAAAGAAACCUAUGUCGGCCGAAUGGACGAUUAAUCGGUUAAGAAAGCAAGCAGGUUAUCAUAAAAUAUUGGUACGAUCGAGAAUACAAUCGGCGGAGUAUCAAGAGACUUACGCGACGUCUACCAGUACGGACAAACUUCUGGACCCGGCCAGUCAACUGAGAGAGUUGAUAGAAACAUCCGGCCAUUUAAUACCUGAUCCCCUUUUAGUACCACGUGACUAUCUUCCAGCUUUGGCCGCUGCCCCGGCUACCGAAAUUCCGAAACUUUUAGCCUCGAGGCCAGAAUUAAGAUUACCAGAAGCAUUAACGAGACCGGAUCUAUUAAGAGAUCCAGAUUUAUUAGUGAUAUCGUUGAGUCAUCUGCAACACGUGCUCGAUCACGGAGAAGGUCCUGUCUCCAGGUCACGACAAUCCCAAUUUAGGAUCGGCAACGGCGUUAACAAAGGAUCGAGUCACGCUAACAACAACGGUACCAGGAACGGUACGCAAAUUAGGCCCAAGCUUAGUUGCAAGCCCAUCGGCACGCUGAUGCCUGCGCCAAUCGAUCUCUCCAGCAAUCGCCGCUCCAGCCCCUAUCCGCCAUUACUCAGGGUACGAACUGGAUUGCUCAAACAGGAACCGGAAGUCAGUUCGACGGCCAACUCGCCGGAUGAUUCGCAACUUUGGCAUCCCCUUUUUGGCAGAGUUUAUGUGUAUGAAUGUGCUCGUACCGUUCUCGCGGGUGGAUAGAAGGAAUUGGUUCGAAAGCACGAGCUCCAUGUGCCUUCUCGCCUUCCCGGUCAAUGGUCUCAGUGAACGACGACGAAGUCGACCAGCUCGUAAGCUCGAAUAGUCAGAAGAGGCAAUUACAGCAACAGCAACAAAUCCAGCAGCAGCAACAUCAACAUCAGUAUCAGCAUCAGUUUCCACAUCCACAUCAGCAUCAAAAUUCGCAUCAGCAUCAAAA
rnacentral:misc_RNA from 1 species